AAUGGUCCGGUGAAGUGUUAGGAUCGCGGCGACGUGGGCGGUUCGCCGCCGGCGACGUCGCGAGAAUUCCACUGAACCUUAUCAUUUAGAGGAAGGAGAAGUCGUAACAAGGUUUCCGUAGGUGAACCUGCGGAAGGAUCAUUG
rnacentral:rRNA from 1 species